GCCAAUCUCUCCAAUACUUGCCUCUCAAAUUCCUUCCAUGCAUGGUCCCUGUCUGGGAAGGAAUUUGAGAGGCAAGUAUUGGAGUGAUUGGCUUUUUUC